GUGGGGAAUAUUGGACAAUGGGCGAAAGCCUGAUCCAGCCAUGCCGCGUGUGUGAAGAAGGUCUUCGGAUUGUAAAGCACUUUAAGUUGGGAGGAAGGGCAGUAAGUUAAUACCUUGCUGUUUUGACGUUACCAACAGAAUAAGCCCCGGCUAACUUCGUGCCAGCAGCCGCGGUAAUACGAAGGGUGCAAGCGUUAAUCGGAAUUACUGAGCGUAAAGCGCGCGUAAGUGGUUCAGCAAGUUGAAGGUGAAAUCCCCGGGCUCAACCUGGGAACUGCCUCCAAAACUACUGAGCUAGAGUACGGUAGAGGGUAGUGGAAUUUCCUGUGUAGCGGUGAUAUGCGUAGAUAUAGGAAGGAACACCAGUGGCGAAGGCGACUACCUGGACUGAUACUGACACUGAGGUGCGAAAGCGUGGGGAGCAAACAGGAUUAGAUACCCGGGUAGUCC
rnacentral:rRNA from 1 species